UACGGGGGGGGCAAGCGUUGUUCGGAAUUACUGGGCGUAAAGGGUGCGUAGGCGGGCAGGUAAGUCAGUGGUGAAAUCUCCGGGCUUAACCCGGAAACUGCCGUUGAUACUAUCUGUCUUGAAUGUCGUGGAGGUGAGCGGAAUAUGUCAUGUAGCGGUGAAAUGCUUAGAUAUGACAUAGAACACCAAUUGCGAAGGCAGCUCACUACACGAUGAUUGACGCUGAGGCACGAAAGCGUGGGGAUCAAACAGG
rnacentral:rRNA from 1 species